GAUGAACGCUGGCGGCGUGCUUAACACAUGCAAGUCGAACGAUGAAGCCCAGCUUGCUGGGUGUAUUAGUGGCGAACGGGUGAGUAACACGUGAGUAACCUGCCCUUAACUCUGGGAUAAGCCUGGGAAACUGGGUCUAAUACCGGAUAGGAGCGCCUACCGCAUGGUGGGUGUUGGAAAGAUUUAUCGGUUUUGGAUGGACUCGCGGCCUAUCAGCUUGUUGGUGAGGUAAUGGCUCACCAAGGCGACGACGGGUAGCCGGCCUGAGAGGGUGACCGGCCACACUGGGACUGAGACACGGCCCAGACUCCUACGGGAGGCAGCAGUGGGGAAUAUUGCACAAUGGGCGAAAGCCUGUUGCAGCGACGCCGCGUGAGGGAUGACGGCCUUCGGGUUGUAAACCUCUUUCAGUAGGGAAGAAGCGAAAGUGACGGUACCUGCAGAAGAAGCACCGGCUAACUACGUG
rnacentral:rRNA from 1 species